rnacentral:lncRNA from 1 species
GUUUGGGGAGCAUCACUGAGGUGGGUGGGAGCGGAGGACCCGUGGCCCUGCCCUGAGGGGACACAGCAAACACCGCCCAGUGACUCCUGGUGAUGACAGGUGGGGAAUGAGGAUGCAAUUUGGGACUGUCGAGAAGCCUUAAUGACAGAAGGAAGAGAAAGAAACAAUAAAGUGAGUCAGGGAUACCAGAAUAAAAAUCAUGCAACAGAUCUGCUUAUUGCUCCCGGCUGCGAGAAGCGCCCUCCGAAAACACUCUUUGUUUUUGUGUCCCCACCUCUUCCCAGAACCUCCUGUCUAAUUUUUACAUCUUGUCAUUAUCUUCAUCCUUUCAGAACCUGCUGCUGUUGCAAAACCUCCAGUUGAAGCUCAGGGCAGUACAGACCAUGACCCCGGAUUUUUUUUCCUUCCUUGAACUCAGUUUACUCCAAAGAACAAGAGGGAAAGUCUGGUGCCAGCGACGUGAAAGUAGCAAAUAAUGGAAAAUCAUCUGGAAUCCCAACCGUUGCAUGAAGAUAACGCUUCCAUCUUUGCUUGCGUUCAACCAGUUGAUAAUGCAGAAAACACGGGGCCUGCAACCGUGUUAAAAACACGUCCACAUCACUCUGAACAUCCCAUCUUCCUGCUAUGUUGGUGUGGCAGAGGACAGAACGCUCAGCACGUUGCCAAACCCGCAGCUUCGGCGCAUCGGCUUGGCGGGCUCCGCAUUUCUGUCGAUGUUUCCCCAUUCUUUGUCCUGACGUGGGGGUGGCAGGACAGCAUUUCUGAAGCCCGGUGGGUGCAACCAGGAACCGAGAUGGGGACAGGCACAGAGGUCCCACCUCGCAAUUUCCAGGGGUGGGAAAUGCUAAUUCAAGCUGUUGCUUGCACCAGGUGUGUCACUGCCUCUGAUGAAAGAGAUCCUCGGGUGCAUAUAAAGGGCCAUCCAGGAGCUGGGAUCACUACAACGGACCCAUCCUCUGCAAACCUCCUCGCAGACAAGGGUAUCCCACCAUGUCCACGCACACCACCGCCGUACAACCCAAGGACCAGCAAUUCCCAGGGAACUGCACUCUGGAAAAGGCCCUGGAAUCCAUCGUGAACAUCUUCCACCAGUACAGCAUCCGUGAGGGUCAGCUGGACCUCCUCAACUUCAAUGACUUCCAGACAAUGCUGACUGAGCAGGCACCCAACUUCCUGAAAGUCUGUGUGAGUGUCCUGGGGGGGGGCUCAGCUGAGCUGGUCCUGGGGGUGCAUCAGUGGGAAUGGGGUGCAAACAUCUCUGAAGGGCUGUGGUCUAUCAGAUGCAGCGCAGCCAUGCACUGUGGGACCAGCCAUGCUCAUAGAAUGGCUUAGGUUGGAUCCACUGCAGAAUGCCUUGGGUGGGAAGGGUCCUGAAAGAUCCUAGGGCUGCAGAAUCCCUUGGGUGGGAAGGGUCCUGAAAGAUCCUAAGGCUGCAGAAUGCCUUGGGUGGGAAGGGUCCUGAAAGAUCCUAGGGCUGCAGAAUGCCCUGGGUGGGAAGGGUCCUGAAAGAUCGUAGGGCUGCAGAAUGCCUUGGGUGGGAAAGGUCCUGAAAGAUCGUAGGGCUGCAGAAUGCCUUGGGUGGGAAGGGUCCUGAAAGAUCCUAGGGCUGCAGAAUGCCUUGGGUGGGAAGGGUCCUGAAAGAUCCUAGAACCACGGAACUGUUGGGUUGGAAGGGACCUCACAGCCUCCCCAUGCUGACCCUUGUUAGGAGCCGGGUGCCCCCCCAGCUCAAGCUGCCCAGGGCCCCAUCCAUGUCUUUGGGCACCUCCAGGGAUGGGACACCCACAGUCCCACAUAAGGCAAGACCCAUCCUUCUCGGGAAUAAAGAUCCCAAUGAUCCCACAUCCUCCAAAUGCUUCUCAGCAAUGAAAGGAACAGGGUGGGGGUGGUGCCCACCGGUGGGCACA